UACGAAGGGGGCUAGCGUUGCUCGGAAUCACUGGGCGUAAAGCGCACGUAGGCGGAUUGCUAAGUCAGGGGUGAAAUCCUGGAGCUCAACUCCAGAACUGCCUUUGAUACUGGCAAUCUCGAGUCCGGGAGAGGUGAGUGGAACUGCGAGUGUAGAGGUGAAAUUCGUAGAUAUUCGCAAGAACACCAGUGGCGAAGGCGGCUCACUGGCCCGGUACUGACGCUGAGGUG
rnacentral:rRNA from 1 species